rnacentral:rRNA from 1 species
UUGCAGAGUGCGGAUGAGUGGCGAACGGGUGAGUAACACGUGGGAAAUCUGCCUAGGAGUGGGGGAUAACAUUCGGAAACGGAUGCUAAUACCGCAUAUCUUUUUGAACCGCAUGGUUCUUAAACGAAAGACGGCUUCGGCUGUCGCUCUUAGAUGAUCCCGCGGCGUAUUAGUUAGUUGGUGGGGUAAAGGCCUACCAAGACCAUGAUACGUAACCGACCUGAGAGGGUGAUCGGCCACACUGGGACUGAGACACGGCCCAGACUCCUACGGGAGGCAGCAGUAGGGAAUCUUCCACAAUGGGUGAAAACCUGAUGGAGCAAUGCCGCGUGAAUGAAGAAGGUCUUCGGAUCGUAAAGUUCUGUUAUUAGAGAAGAACAAGUCAAGGAGUAACUGUCUUGACUUUGACGGUACCUAACCAGAAAGUCACGGCUAACUACGUGCCAGCAGCCGCGGUAAUACGUAGGUGACAAGCGUUGUCCGGAAUUAUUGGGCGUAAAGGGAGCGCAGGCGGUUGGAAUAGUCUGAUGUGAAAGCCCACGGCUUAACCGUGGAAGGUCAUUGGAAACUGUCCAACUUGAAUACAGAAGAGGUAAGUGGAAUUCCAAGUGUAGCGGUGAAAUGCGUAGAUAUUUGGAGGAACACCAGCGGCGAAAGCGACUUACUGGUCUGUAAUUGACGCUGAGGCUCGAAAGCGUGGGUAGCGAACAGGAUUAGAUACCCUGGUAGUCCACGCUGUAAACGAUGAGUGCUAGGUGUUGGAGGGUUUCCGCCCUUCGGUGCCGGAGCUAACGUAUAAGCACUCCG